CAAAAUUUUCAACUGCAAGCAUGAUGUCAGUUCAAUCUGGAAAACUAAACAACACGACAAAAUUCUAUUUUGAUUCACAAGGUUCUCAAAGAGCACAAUCAAUCUAUACUUCUUGUUGAAUCUAUGGUUGCUAAUGUUUUUAUGUCCUCAGCAAAGAGAUGUUCAAUAUUUGGUAUUCUUAAAUUAAUCCUUUAGAUCUACCAUCUCCACUAACUCAAAAUUAGGUUAACAUAAAUUUAUACAACAACAACAACAACAACAAAGCCUUUUCCCACUAAGUGGGGUCGGCUAUAUGAAUCCUAGAACGCCAUUGCGCUCGGUUUUGUGUCAUGUCCUCCGUUAGAUCCAAGUACUCUAAGUCUUUUCUUAGAGUCUCUUCCAAAGUUUUCCUAGGUCUUCCUCUACUCCUUCGGCCCUGAACCUCUGUCCCGUAGUCACAUCUUCGAACCGGAGCGUCAGUCGGCCUUCUUUGCACAUGUCCAAAUCACCAGAGCCGAUUUUCUCUCAUCUUUCCUACAAUUUCGGCUACUCCUACUGUACCUCGGAUAUCCUCAUUCCCAAUCUUAUCCUUUCUCGUGUGCCCACACAUCCCACGAAGCAUCCUCAUCUCCGCUACACCCAUUUUGUGUACGUGUUGAUGCUUCACCACCCAACAUUCUCUGCCAUACAACAUCGCUGGCCUUAUUGCCGUCCUAUAAAAUUUUCCCUUGAGCUUCAGUGGCCUACGACGGUCACACAACACGCCGGAUGCACUCUUUCCAUCCAGCUCGUAUUCUAUGGUUGAGAUCUCCAUCUAAUUCUCCGUUCUCUUGCAAGAUAGAUCAUAGGUAACGAAAACGGUCGCUUUUUGUGAUCUUCGCUAGAUUGCUCCGGUCAUUAGUGUGGAUAAGUAUAUAAAUGGAUAGAGAUAGGAAAGCAAACACAAGAUGUACGUGGUUCACCCAGAUUGGCUACGUCCACGGAAUAGAAGAGUUCUCAUUAAUUGUGAAGGGUUGAGUGUGGUGUCGUCUUGACUUGCCUUAUCUGUCUCAUAGGUAGAUGUGGCAUCUUCUCUGGAAGUACUCUUCCUCCAUCCAGGGGUGGUAUCUUUAACUGGUGGAGAUGCACAAGGUAAUGUAUCAAUUUCACUUGAAGCUUACUUGUAGUUUCAGGCUUGGUCAAGCGCGAUACAAACCAUGUAGUAGGAGUCCCCCAAGUCGCCGGGCUAGGGGGUCUGCUGAAAGAGGUGACAGACAAGGUAAGCAAUCAGAGCUCCGACUGAUUGUUCACCUUCUCCCCAUCUUGCAGCAGCAUGAAGGAUAAAGAGAAGAAAAAUGAGAAGAGAUGAUAUGAGAUACUUUUGCUUUUGAAGAAGUAACUUUCCACAGGCUUAUUCUUGAACUGAGCUGGAGGGUUUUCUGGUUUCCUCCAAAGUAUAAGGCCGACUGAAGAAUUUGAGGGUCAAAACAAGUCCAUCAAAUCUAGAGUACGUUCCACCCUGCUAAUAUGGGAUACUUUUGCUUUUGACAGAGUAAUGGAUGUAUCGGCACGUGUGCUGUUACGCUUGUCUCCACAUGCUUCCCUUGUAUCCUUCGCACUUGCCCUAUCUGUUCCUCAAGCAGAUGCGGAAUCUUCCCUGGAAAACAUAAGAUGUUGAAGAUGAGUACUCGAGAGCAAUGCCAGGUAAGUAAUCAGGUAAGGGGUUCCAGGCAGUCAGUUCCUGGCUGGAAGCUUGAUUCCAAGUGCUGACUGAUUGCUCUCUUUCUCCUUGUCUUGCCGGUAAAAACAAGGCCAAAAGAAAAAACAGGGAAAAAGCAUGAUAUGGGAUACUCUUGCUUUUAACCCUGAUGAUAUGAGAUAUUCUUGCUCUAGUAUAGCUUGUUUGCAGAGGUAUUAUCGGGGGGAAAGAAAGCUGAAUAUUUCGAAAGGCUUUGUUGGGAGUGCCCUAUCAGAUAUGAUGAAGGGUUGAGCAUUUUUUGCAGGUCUGCCUGUCCGUUGGGGAUGGAGGUCGACAUAUAUAGGAGUCUCCCUAACAACAAGUAGUAAUGCUAUUCCUUUACCCUGCUUGGUCAUAGCACGGUAGUGGGAGCUGCCAGUUUCACAUGUUUUAACUCUGUCAGAGCACUUUGAAAAAGUGGUCUGUGUGGUAUCUGGCUCUCGAGAUUCGGAGAACGAUGCCUCUUCGAUUUUUGAGAAAGCAAUCAUGUUGGGGGUCUGACUCUCGAGAUUCGGAGAGCAGUUGUCUCUUCGAUUUUUGAGGAAGUAAUCAUGUUGGGAGUCUGGCUCUCGAGAUUCGGAGGGCGGUGCCUCUUCGAUUUUGGAGCAAGCAAUCUUGUUGGGAGUGUUGUCUCGAAUGUGAGUAAAGGUUGGACAUGUUUGCUAGUCUACCUUGCCACGAAGCACAAAGGUUGACACAUAGGGACUUUCCAAUUAUCCAGCAAUGGUACUGUUCCUUUACCCUCUCUUCGAUUUUGAGAAAGUAGUCAUGUUGGGAGUCUGGCUCUCGAGAUUCGGAGGACGGUGCCUCUUCGAUUUUGGAGCAAGCAAUCUUGUUGGGGACUGUUUUCUCGAAUGUGAGUAAAGGUUGGGCAUGUUUGCUAGUCUACCUUGCCACGAAGCACAGAGGUUGACACACAGGGACUUUCCAAUUAUCCAGCAGUGGUACUGUUCCUUUACCCUUGUGGGUAAUAAUAUGGUAGCUAGACCUUCAAAAAUUUAUGUGUCUAAACUUUGUUAGUGCUGUUUCUUUGCUAUUCUUUUACCUUUCUUGGUCAGAGCGAUGUAGUGGGAGCUGCAAGCUUCACGUGCUCAACUUUGGCAGAGAACUUUGGCAAAAUGAUCUGUGGUACCCAUGAGUUAUUGUUGCGUGUGGGAAGUGGGUGAUUGAACAGUAAGAUUCAUGUGCUUUCUCCUUCACCAGAAGUCUUCGACAGAAUGCCCAUAAUUUCUGCAAAGCUGAGUGUGCGUGUGACAGGUGCUGACAAGGCUAGAAAAGUAGGUGCCUCUUUGAUUUCUGAGAUCGGCCCUCGUGGUCUCUGAGCAGCCCAGCUUUUGAGAAAGCGAGCGCCUCUUCGAUUGAUUCGGAGAACGGUGCCUCACCGAUUUUUGAGAAAGCAAUCAUGUUGGGGGUCUGGCUCUCGAGAUUCGGGGAGCAGUGUCUCUUCGAUUUUUGAGAAAGUAAUCAUGUUGGGAGAGUGGCUCUCGAGAUUCGGAGGGCGGUGCCUCUUCGAUUUUGGAGCAAGCAAUCUUGUUGGGAGUGUUUUUCUCGAAUGUGAGUAGAGGUUGGGCAUGUUUGCUAGUCUACCUUGCCACGAAGCACAGAGGUUGACACACAGGGACUUUCCAAUUAUCCAGCAAUGGUACUGUUCCUUUACCCUCUCUUCGAUUUUUAAGAAAGUAGUCAUGUUGGGAGUCUGGCUCUUUAGAUUCGGAGGACGGUGCCUCUUCGAUUUUGGAGCAAGCAAUCUUAUUGGGAGUGUUUUCUCGAAUGUGAGUAAAGGUUGGGCAUGUUUGCUAGUCUACCUUGCCACGAAGCACAGAGGUUGACAUACAUGGACUUUCCAAUUAUCCAGCAGUGGUACUGUUCCUUUACCCUUGUGGGUAAUAAUAUGGUAGCUAGACCUUCAAAAUUUAUGGGUCUAAACUUUGUUAGUGCUGUUUCUUUGCUAUUCUUUUACCCCUUCUUGGUCAGAGCGAUGUAGUGGGAGCUGCAAGCUUCACGUGCUCAACUUUGGCAGAGAACUUUGGCAAAGUUAUCUGUGGUACCCAUGAGCUAUUGUUGCGUGUGGGAAGUGGGUGAUUGAACAGUAAGAUUCAUGUGUUUUCUACUUCCCCAGAAGUCUUUGACAGAAUGCCCAUAAUUUCCGCAAAGCUGAGUGUGCGUGUGACAGGUGCUGACAAGGCUGGAAAAGUAGGUGCCUCUUCGAUUUCUGAGAUCGGCCCUCGUGGUCUCUAGGGAGCCCAGCUUUUGAGAAAGCGAGCGCCUCUUCGAUUUCUGAGAUCGGCCUUCGUGGUCUUUUGAGCAGCCCAACUUUUGAGAAAGCAAACGGCUCUUCGAUUUCUGAGAUCAACCCUCGUGAUCUCUAAGCAGCCCAACUUUUGAGAAAGCAAACGCCUCUUCGAUUUCUGAGCAGGCGCCCUCUUUGAUUUCUGAAGCUCCGUCGAGUGCAGAUUUUUAUAGGGGCUGGCAUUAAGUUCCAAAGCACACUUGAAUCUCCACCAGUAGAAGCUUCAUUCUUGCACUUCUAAGAUCUUGAUUUGUCCGACCUCUUCUCUCUUCAACACCUUUGAAAAUGUCUGGCCCCUCCGACCGUCGUUUUGACUUGAACCUUGUUGAAGAGGCAGCCCCGCCUUCUCCAGACAACAUAUGGCGCCCAUCCUUCGUCUCCCCAACUGGUCCUCUUACCGUUGGGGAUUCCGUGAUGAAGAAUGAUAUGACCGCUGCGGUGGUGGCCAGGAACCUUCUCACUCCCAAAGAUAACAGACUACUUUCCAAACGGUCCUGAUGAGUUAGCUGUUAAGGAUUCGCUGGCUCUCAGUGUUCAGUGUGCAGGUUCUGUGUCUAAUAUGGCACAACGCCUAUUUGCUCGAACCCGCCAAGUUGAAUCAUUGGCGGCUGAAGUGAUGAGUCUCAAACAGGAGAUUAGAGGGCUCAAGCAUGAGAAUAAACAGUUGCACCGGCUCGCACAUGACUAUGCUACAAACAUGAAGAGGAAGCUUGACCAGAUGAAGGAAACUGAUGGUCAGGUUUUACUUGAUCAUCAGAGAUUUGUGGGUUUGUUCCAAAGGCAUUUAUUGCCUUCGUCUUCUGGGGCUGUACCGCGUAAUGAAGCUCCAAAUGAUCAACCUCUGAUGCCUCCUCCUUCUAGGGUUAUGUCCAGUACUGAGGCUCCAAAUGAUCCCCCUCCGGUGCCUUCUCUUUCUGGGGCUCUACCGACUGCUGAGACUUCUCCUAAGCAACCUUUGUGAAGGCUCCCUCUUGUGUGUUUAUUUUUGACUCCUGUAUAUGUACAUAUUUGUAGCUUAUCGGGGAUAUCAAUAAAUAAGCUUUCCUUCAUUUCAACGUAUUGUGUUAAAUACACCAAAGCCUUCUUCGCUAAGUUCUUUGAAUUUUCUUUUGUUGAAGCUUGUAUGUUGAAGCUUUCUGAGUGGAGCAGUGUAGGUUGGGGUAGUGUUCCCUUAAUUUCCCGAGUGAGGAAAACUUCUUGGUUGGAGACUUGGAAAAUCCAAGUCACUGAGUGGGAUCGGCUAUAUGAAUCUUAGAACGCCAUUGUGCUCGAUCCUGUGUCAUGUCCUUCGUUAGAUCCAAGUACGCUAAGUCUUUUCUUAGAGUCUCUUCCAAAGUUUUCCUAGGUCUUCCUCUACCCCUUCGGCCCUGAACCUCUGUCCCAUAGUCGCAUCUUCUAAUCGGAGCGUCAGUAGGCCUUCUUUGCACAUGUCCAAACCACCGUAACCGAUUUUCUCUCAUCUUUCCUUCAAUUUCGGCUACUCCUACUUUACCCCGGAUAUCCUCAUUCCUAAUCUUAUCCUUUUCUCGUGUGCCCACACAUCCAACGAAGCAUCCUCAUCUCCGCUACACCCAUUUUGUGUACGUGUUGAUGUUUCACCGCCCAACAUUCUGUGCCAUACAGCAUUGCCGGCCUUAUUGCCGUCCUAUAAAAUUUUCCCUUGAGCUUCAGUGGCAUACGGCGGUCACACAACACACCGGAUGCACUCUUCCACUUCAUCCAUCCAGCUUGUAUUCUAUGGUUGAGAUCUCCAUCUAAUUCUCCGUUCUUUUGCAAGAUAGAUCCUAGGUAACGAAAACGGUCGCUCUUUGGUAUUUCUUGAUCUCCGAUCCUCACCCCUAACUCGUUUUGGCCUCCAUUUGCACUGAACUUGCACUCCAUAUAUUCUGUCUUUGAUCGGCUGAGGCGAAGACCUUUAGAUUCCAACACUUCUCUCCAAAGGUUAAGCUUUGCAUUUACCCCUUCCUGAGUUUCAUCUAUCAACACUAUAUCGUCUGCGAAAAGCAUACACCAAGGAAUAUCAUCUUGAAUAUGUCCUGUUAACUCAUCCAUUACCAACGCAAAAAGGUAAGGACUUAAGGAUGAGCCUUGAUGUAAUCCUACAGUUAUGGGAAAGCUUUCGGUUUGUCCUUCAUGAGUUUCUUACGGCGGUCUUUGCUCCUUCAUACAUAUCCUUUAUAGCUUGGAUAAUAUGCUACUCGUACUCCUUUCUUCUCUAAAAUCCUCCAAAGAAUGUCUCUUGGGACCCUAUCAUACGCUUUUUCCAAAUCUAUAAAGACCAUGUGUAAAUCCUUUUUCCCAUCUCUAUAUCUUUCCAUCAAUCUUCGUAAGAGAUAGAUUGCCUCCAUGGUUGAGCGCCCUGGCAUGAACCGAAUUGGUUGUCCGAAACCCGUGUCUCUUGCCUCAAUCUAUGCUCAAUGACUCUCUCCCAGAGCUUCAUUGUAUGACUCAUUAGCUUAAUACCCCUAUAGUUCAUGCAAUUUUGUACGUCGCCCUUAUUCUUGUAGAUAGGCACCAAAGUGCUCGUUCGCCACUCAUUUGGCAUCUUCUUCGUUUUCAAAAUCCUAUUGAAAAGGUCAGUGAGCCAUGUUAUACCUGUCUCUCCCAAAACUUUCCACACUUCGAUUGGUAUAUCGUCUGGGCCUAUUGCUUUUCUAUGCUUCAUCUUCUUCAAAGCUACAACCACUUCUUCCUUCCGGAUUCGACGAUAAAAGGAGUAGUUUCUACACUCUUCUGAGUUACUCAACUCUCCUAAAGAAGCACUCCUUUCAUGUCCUUCAUUGAAAAGAUUAUGAAAAUAACCUCUCCAUCUGUCUUUAACCGCGUUCUCUGUAGCAAGAACCUUUCCAUCCUCAUCCUUGAUGCACCUCACUUGGUUUUAGGUCCCUUGUCUUCUUUUCCCUUGCUCUAGCUAGUUUAUAGAUAUCCAACUCUCCUUCUUUGGUAUCUAGUCGUUUAUACAUAUCGUCGUAAGCCGCUAACUUAGCUUCUCUGACAGCUUUCUUCGCCUCUUGCUUCGCUUUUCUAUACCUUUCACCAUUUUCAUCGGUCCUCUCCUUGUAUAAGGCUUUACAACAUUCCUUCUUAGCCUUCACCUUUGUUUGUACCUCCUCAUUCCACCACCAAGAUUCCUUUUGGUGUGGGGCAAAAGCCCUUGGACUCUCCUAAUACCUCUUUUGCUACUUUUCGGAUACAACUAGCCAUGGAAUCCCACAUUUGGCUAGCUUCCCCCUCUCUAUCCCACACCACAUUGGGUGAUUACCUUCUCUUUGAAAAUGGCUUGUUUUUCUUCUUUUAGAUUCCACCAUCUAGUUCUUGGGCACUUCCAAGUCUUGUUCUUUUGUCUUACUCUUUUGAUAUGUACAUCCAUCACCAACAAGCGAUGUUGAUUAGCCACGCUCUCUCCUGGUAUAACUUUGCAAUCCUUACAAGUUAUACGAUCCCCUUUCCUCAUUAGAAGAAAAUCUAUUUGUGUUUUUGACGACCCACUCUUGUAGGUGAUCACAUGUUCUUCUCUCUUCUUAAAGAAGGUAUUGGCUAAGAAGAGAUCAUAUGCCAUUGCAAAAUCCAAGAUAGCUUCCCCAUCCUCGUUUCUCUCCCCAAAACCAUGGCCACCAUGAAAACCUCCAUAGUUGCCUGUCUCCCUGCCCACGUGUCCAUUUAAAUCUCCUCCUAUAAAUAACUUCUCCGUCUGAGCAAUUCCUUGCACCAAGUCUCCAAGAUCUUCCCAAAAUUUCUCCUUCGAACUCGUAUCCAACCCUACUUGAGGUGCGUACGCACUAAUCACAUUGAUAAGUUCUUGUCCUAUUACAAUCUUGAUUGCCAUGAUUCUAUCUCCUACCCUCUUGACAUCUACAACAUCUUGUACCAAGGUCUUGUCCACGAUGAUGCCAACACCGUUUCUCGUUCUAUUUGUGCCCGAAUACCAAAGUUUAAACCCUGAGUUUUCUAGAUCCUUUGCCUUACUACCAACCCACUUAGUUUCUUGUAGGCACAUAAUAUUUAUCCUUCUCCUCACCAUAACUUCCACUACUUCCAUAGAUUUCCCGUUAAGGUUCCUAUAUUCCACGUUCCUAAACGCAUUUUGCUCUCUUGAACUCUACCCUUCUGUCCUAGCUUCUUCACCCUCCCCCGUCUAAUAGGAUCAAAGUACUUCUUUUGUGUGUCCCGGGUAAAGUUGAUAGGAGCAUAUGCUCCCAAACAACUUUGAGUGGAGUCGUUCGAAAAGAAGUUUCUAUGGCCCCCUUGCUCAUUUAACACUGCAUCCGGGUGCCGAUGGAGAUACAGCGACCCUUGCUCACUUAUCACUGUGCUCGGGCCACACAGCGCGCCACUUACGGGUGACGCCCUAGCUUUAGCGCGAUUUUGUUCUGGAUUCAUUUUCAUAAGGAUUCGACGUGAUCAUGGAGUGCCGGCUGUCGACUACCUGACGUCCUCCCCCUCCUCCUUUAUCCGGGCUUGGGACCGGCCAUGUAAGACAUAGGCGGAGUUGUUAACAUAAAUUUAUAGUUUGAUAUAAUUAUCCAUUUACCCUUUGAAGAGAAUGAAAAGUAGAGGGUUGUGCAAACUUACAAUAUAUUUAGAUGUUGAAGCAUCCUUGAAACACCACCAUUC
rnacentral:lncRNA from 1 species